rnacentral:sRNA from 1 species
ACCAAAGCCAGUAUACAUGAAUGCCAUCACGAGGUGUUCUAAAUAGAACUUCAUCUUUUGUAGUAUUUGACCAGGCAGCUGCAUCUGAUAUGGACGGCUGUGACACUGGCGUCCAGUGGAAAGGAAAUUGGAUACUUAUGACCAGUCUGAUGCUGGUAUCACUACUCAUUAGAAGAACUCUUACAUAAGACAAAAAACCUUCCAUUGAGCAGGUCAUCACCAAUAUUCAAGUGAAGAUGGUCUAAAAGAAGCAGUUAUUAUCUACCAAAAAAUAUUUAUUAGUGUCCUUAAAUAAACUAUGCAGUCUUUU